rnacentral:rRNA from 1 species
AUGUACGUGCAUAAUGGUGUCAAGCUGCUGCAUAGAAGAAAAACCCCAGCGGUCCUAUUAAAGCUUGACAUCACCCGGGCUUUUGAUAGUGUAUCUUGGGAGUACCUCCUUGAACUGCUACAAAAUCUGGGCUUCAGUGCCAGAUGGAGGGAUUGGAUCGCACUGCUGUUGUCGACCUCCAGUUCGGUUGUCAUGCUUAAUGGGUGCCCGAAGUGCAGUUGCUGCACCAACAAGGGCUGCGCCAGGGGGACCCCCUCUCACCGUUGCUAUUCAUUCUGGCAAUUGAUCCACUGCAUCGCCUGCUUCGGCUUGCAGCAGAGAGAAACAUCAUAA